CUGGGGGCUAAUCAGGUAGCCUUAGGGCUGAUGGAUAAGCCAGAUGCUAGUAAAGUAGCCUUCCUGGAGCUUAUGGAAUAGCAGAUCUGUUGUAUUGGAAUUUCUUGGACAAAGAAGAGAAGCAAAGUAGGAUAGAGUGAGAGCAAAAGACUCCUGCUCAUCAGGUAGAGAAGACCAUUGGAGCAGAUCCAAAAUGUUGAUUUCCUACUCAACAAAAAGGAAAGAAAUGAAGCCAGUCCAGUUCCAGAUCUGUCUUCAAGACCCACUACUAGUGCUGGUUAAAUCAGGGUUACUUUCCUCCUUUGGUGUUCAGCUGCCACUCAGCUCUCAUUUG
rnacentral:lncRNA from 1 species